rnacentral:rRNA from 1 species
CUACGGGCCGCAGCAGUGGGGAAUAUUGCACAAUGGGCGCAAGCCUGAUGCAGCCAUGCCGCGUGUAUGAAGAAGGCCUUCGGGUUGUAAAGUACUUUCAGCGGGGAGGAAGGGAGUAAAGUUAAUACCUUUGCUCAUUGACGUUACCCGCAGAAGAAGCACCGGCUAACUCCGUGCCAGCAGCCGCGGUAAUACGGAGGGUGCAAGCGGUAAUCGGAAUUACUGGGCGUAAAGCGCACGCAGGCGGUUUGUUAAGUCAGAUGUGAAAUCCCCGGGCUCAACCUGGGAACUGCAUCUGAUACUGGCAAGCUUGAGUCUCGUGGAGGGGGGUAGAAUUCCAGGUGUAGCGGUGAAAUGCGUAGAGAUCUGGAGGAAUACCGGUGGCGAAGGCGGCCCCCUGGACGAAGACUGACGCUCAGGUGCGAAAGCGUGGGGAGCAAACAGGAUUAGAUACCCGGGUAGUC